AUUGAACGCUGGCGGCAGGCUUAACACAUGCAAGUCGAGCGGAGUGAUGGUGCUUGCACUAUCACUUAGCGGCGGACGGGUGAGUAAUGCUUAGGAAUCUGCCAUUUAGUGGGGGACAACAUUCCGAAAGGAAUGCUAAUACCGCAUACGUCCUACGGGAGAAAGCAGGGGAUCUUCGGACCUUGCGCUAAAUGAUGAGCCUAAGUCGGAUUAGCUAGUUGGUGGGGUAAAGGCCUACCAAGGCGACGAUCUGUAGCGGGUCUGAGAGGAGGAUCCGCCAAACUGGGACUGGGACACGGCCCAGACUCUUACGGGAGGCGGCAGUGGGGAAUAUUUGACAAUGGGCGGAAGCCUGAUCCAGCCAUGCCGCGUGUGUGAAGAAGGCCUUUUGGUUGUAAAGCACUUUAAGCGAGGAGGAGGCUCUCCUAGUUAAUACCUAGGAAGAGUGGACGUUACUCGCAGAAUAAGCACCGGCUAACUCUGUGCCAGCCGCCGCAGUAAGAC
rnacentral:rRNA from 1 species